GCAGCUACCAGACAGCAGAAUCACAGAAGAAAGAAUAGCUUAACUAGCGGACCAUUAAGAACAUUAAAAAGGAGAUAUGGUCAUUAACACCUGUGGGGUGAAGAAUUUAGAAGGAAUCGGGUAUAAGAAGCCAUUUCCUCACUGCUGCCAGAAUAGAAAUGCUGCUGCCACUGCCAGUUUUAAACUUUGGGUGGAUCGUGAAUCAAAGGGGGAGGGGAGUGUGUACAACUGCACCACUGCACCCCUCCCCUGGACCCACCCCUGAGCUGGUGCAAUGGAGGAGGGGGACUGGCAAAUUGAAGAGCCCUUGUCAAGCUGGUGUGUUUCUGAUGGGGUUCACAUAGGAAAACUGAGACACAGAGCAGAGAAGGAGUUACUGAAACAAGGAGACUACAAGAGACUGCAAACGGGGCCACAGAAAGGAGACAAGAUUUUGAGGCUGACUGUUCAAAAACCUGUGGUUCUGGACUGUGAACUCUGACAGCUAAUGAACAUUAGGAGAAAGGACUUCCAUGUUAAAGACUUGGCAUCCUCCCUCCAUCCUUCCAUUAACUUGGGACAGCUCACAAUGUAUGUCUCUGAGGACCUCCAACAAAACAAAAAAGGAUCAAACUCAA